GACGAACGCUGGCGGCACGCCUAAAACAUGCAAGUCGAACGAGAAGCUCGGAGCUUGCUCCGGGUGGAAAGUGGCGAACGGGUGAGGAACACGUGAGGAACCUGCCCCGAAGACCGGGACAACACCGGGAAACCGGUGCUAAUACCGGAUGCCCUCACCGGACCGCAUGAUCCGGUGAGGAAAUGGAUUCCGCUUCGGGAUGGUCUCGCGCACUAUCAGCUUGUUGGUGGGGUAAUGGCUCACCAAGGCUACGACGGUUAGCUGGUCUGAGAGGAUGUCCAGCCACACUGGGACUGAGACACGGCCCAGACUCCUACGGGAGGCAGCAGUUAGGAAUCUUGCGCAAUGAGCGAAAGCUUGACGCAGCGAUGCCGCGUGCGGGAUGACGGCCCUCGGGUUGUAAACCGCUUUCAGCAGGGACGAAAUUGACGGUACCUGCAGAAGAAGCCCCGGCCAACUACGUGCCAGCAGCCGCAGUAAAAC
rnacentral:rRNA from 1 species